rnacentral:tRNA from 1 species
CCUGUUCGUGGACGACGCCGUCCCGCGGCCGCGGAGGCCGCUGGAGGACCCGGCGAUCGCCGUGCCCGGUUCGGCGCCGGCGUACACGA